UAACUUACCUGGCAGGAGAGAAGAUACCAAGAUCACGAGGGGGUUUUCCCAGGGCGGGGCUUACCCAUUGCAAAUCAAAUGUGCUGACCCCUGAGAUUUCCCCAAAUGUGGGAAACUUGACUGUGUAAUUUAUGGUAGUUGGGACUGCAUUUGCAUUGUCCCCU
rnacentral:snRNA from 1 species